rnacentral:rRNA from 1 species
CUUGGUCAUUUAGAGGAAGUAAAAGUCGUAACAAGGUUUCCGUAGGUGAACCUGCGGAAGGAUCAUUAAUGAAAAGAAUGUUGAGAAGGGUUGUAGCUGGCCUCUUGGGGCAUGUGCACACCUUGAUCAUACAUCCAACUCUUACACCUGUGCACUUAUAUGUAGCUUGGGAUGAUUACGGUAUUAGAAAUGAUAUUGAAUGCCCUUGCUAUGAAAUUUUACACACACACAUAAAAAGUUAUAGAAUGAAGUUAUAGCGUGUAACAACGUGAAUAUAUACAACUUUCAGCAACGGAUCUCUUGGCUCUCGCAUCGAUGAAGAACGCAGCGAAAUGCGAUAAGUAAUGUGAAUUGCAGAAUUCAGUGAAUCAUCGAAUCUUUGAACGCACCUUGCGCUCCUUGGUAUUCCGAGGAGCAUGCCUGUUUGAGUGUCAUGAAUAUAUCAACUGCUUUUAGCAUUUAUAUGGUGAAAGUGAAGUUGGAGUUGGAGGAUAAUUGCUGGCGUGACUUAGGUUGCUUGUUAGCUCCUCUUGAAAGUAUGAGCUUUUCUAAUAGAUCAUGGCUUCAGUAACACUAAUGUGAUAAAUAUCAAUGUUAGAUGUCUGGUAGCUGUGAGUAGGGUGACUUCAAUUAUGGAGGAGCUCCUAUAGAAAGGGAUGUCUUAGAAAAUAAAGUGUCUCGGAAAUUUUUUUGAGCGAUUGAAUUUUCUAAGAGGAAGAUAACAAAUAUACAUCUGACCUCAAAUCAGGUAGGACUACCCGCUGAACUUAAGCAUAUCAAUAAGCGGAGGAAAAGAAACUAACAAGGAUUCCCCUAGUAACUGCGAGUGAAGCGGGAAAAGCUCAAAUUUAAAAUCUGGCAUGCCUUUGGCUGUCCGAAUUGUAGUCUGGAGAAGUGUUUUCCGUGCUGGACCAUGUACAAGUCCCUUGGAAUAGGGCGUCAUAGAGGGUGAGAAUCCCGUCUUUGACAUGGACUACCAGUGCUUUGUGAUGCGCUCUCAAAGAGUCGAGUUGUUUGGGAAUGCAGCUCAAAAUGGGUGGUAAAUUCCAUCUAAAGCUAAAUAUAGGCGAGAGACCGAUAGCGAACAAGUACCGUGAGGGAAAGAUGAAAAGCACUUUGGAAAGAGAGUUAAACAGUACGUGAAAUUGCUGAAAGGGAAACGCUUGAAGUCAGUCAUGUCUGCUGGGACUCAGCCUUGCUUUUGCUUGGUGCAUUUUCCAGUUUGACAGGCCAGCAUCGAUUUUGACUAUUGGAAAAAGGUAAAGGAAAUGUGGCACCUUCGGGUGUGUUAUAGUCCUGGACCACAUACAAUAGUUGGGAUCGAGGAUCGCAGCAUGCCUUUAUGGCCGGGGUUCGCCCACGUACAUGCUUAGGAUGCUGGCAUAAUGGCUUUAAGCGACCCGUCUUGAAACACGGACC